UUAAUUGAAGCCAAAAAGAGGCAUAUUACUGUUAAUAAUAUAAUUGAAGUUAAUUCCAAUUGAA
rnacentral:tRNA from 1 species